AUAAUAUUUCCCAUGUAGGAAACAGAGCCGGCUUUUCGGGGUGGGAGAGUGGGACAACACGUAGCUAUGUGUAUGGGAAACAUUUCAUCACAGGUGGGAGGGGCAGCGACGUUCUGUUUAAUACAGACAUCAUGAUGCACCUCCUCCACAAAAACGGUGUGAUGUUUGCAGCAAUAACCACUUCUGUUGGAGCAGUCUCUCUAAAUGAGUGAUAUAGGCAUCUGAAAUGUUAUUCAGACCUCAUAUCCUACCACUGCAUUUACUUUUCUGUACAAAAACCUCAUGCUGGAAGUAUUGUCAAUAUUAAAAUCUAUUGUACGCCCCCAAUAUUCUAGGAGAGCUGCAGCUGGCAGGGUGAUAUUUGGUAUAGCUACUCUAGCCUGGUUCUAUAUCUGUUUGUGUUGUCUUGCCAACUCCUACACUCUUAGAAAAAAAGGGUUCUUCAGCUGUCCACAUUGGAGAAUCCUACAUAGAACCCAAAAUAGUUCUACCUGGAACUAAAAAGUUUUCUUCAAAGGGUUCUCCUACGAGGACAGUCGAAAAACCCUUUAAGGUUCUAGAUAUAACCUUUUUAUCUAAGAGUGUGUGAUGACUUCAUGACCACAGGUGUUGGCAAGAUAGCACAAACAGAUCUGGGACCAGGCUAGAGCUGCUCUGGGUCAGGGUUUUAUCGGUUUUCUCCGAGGCAUCCAUGAGUCAACACGCCUGACUACAGAGAGUAUCUAACCCUAGCGGGUCAUCAUGGCAGCGCUCUGCUGGCUCUAUUACAAUAUUGGGUCUGACUCACGAUGUGGUCACCAUAACAUCACUCAAAACAGUGCAGGAGUUGUCCAAGAGAGAAAACAGUCAGGAGGAGUUGGUGUAUUGUCCUAAAGGGGGCUAUUUGUCAGGCCUGUUGUGACACACUGUUCAGCUGCCUGCCUAUACAGACAUCACUUAAAAACGUUAUCUUGUUUUUCCACUUUCUUUUGUCAUGUAAUGGUCACAACUCGUGGUUUCUUGCAAAUGUCGUUUUUUAUUUCUUAUUUUUCUGUCCUAAAAAAUGACCAAUUACUUUUUGCACCAUAGUCUAUAAAUUGCACUUAAAUACCACCUUCUCAUUGCACACCUACAAACACUACUUUGGAGGACACUGACUGCAAACUAAAUAUCCCUUAGUUAAUCACCUCAACAAGUUUUAAGUGGUAUUCCUUGGUGUGGGGGGGGGACAAAGUAUUUACGGUUCCAAACUGUGAUCUGGGGGAAAGUGAGUAAGGGGUCGUGUUGCUGCCCGGCUGAGGAGCAGUAAAAAUAACCUUGGCUUGUGGUGUCCCAGUUUAUGAGUGGGCACCGGGUCUUCUGCAGGUCACCAUUGUUGGUGCAGCUGAGCUAGUGCCAGAGCCAGCAGGGUCUGCCGGUGGUUCGAUGUGUCAGAGGUUGUUUGUAAAGCAAGCCAAACAGGCCUUUUGAUGGCUAACACCAGAGAAUCUGGAAGCCAUUUGCUUUUCCGCACUCUGUGUGAGCAUCCCAAACAGCACCCUAUUCCCUUUAUAGUGCACUACUUUUUAUCAGGGUCCAUCAAAAGUAGUGCACUAUAUAGGGAAUAGGGUGCCAUUUGGGGCCGCAACCAGAGAAAGUGGAGGGCUUGAUCACCUCCAGCAUCUGCUGCCUGUUUAUUUACCCAGCUCACUUAACCCUUUAAACAAACUAACCAGGGCUCACCGUUGUGCCACUCUUAGAUUGGCCUCUGAGGACAGAAUCUGUCACAGGGGCUUUAGACUAAUACCUAUAGAGAGACAUAACAUAUACCUUGUUAUAAGACAUUGUAAUGUUGUGAAGUUAUACAUAACUUAUAAAGCAUCAUACUUGGAUGCUUUAAGUAAAGUGUUAUUAUUUUUAAGAGGAGAUGGAGUUUAGAACCCCCUUGUCAAUGAUCCUAGGCCUACAUUAGUUUGAUUACAUGAUAUUAAACUGUAAUAUGUAUACUUGGGCCUACAUAAUAAACAAUUUGUUGUGGUUUAAGAUUGCUUGCUUUCUAGCAGUUUUGGUAAGUGCACUUACCUUUCUAUAUCUUAUGUAGGUCCUUGUUGACCAAAACCUAACAUUUUUAUAUAAAGGAUUUGAUUUGAGUGCCA